UACGUAGGUGACCAGCGUUGUCCGGAUUUACUGGGCGUAAAGAGCGCGCAGGCGGUCGUUCAAGUCGAGUGUGAAAGCCCCCCGGCUCAACUGGGGAGGGUCACUCGAUACUGAUCGACUUGAAGGCAGGAGAGGGAAGCGGAAUUCCCCGGUGUAGUGGUGAAAUGCGUAGAUAUCGGGAGGAACACCUGUGGCGAAAGCGGCGCACUGGACCAUAACUGACGCUGAGGCGCGAAAAGCUAGGGGAGCAAACAGGG
rnacentral:rRNA from 1 species